rnacentral:rRNA from 1 species
GACGAACGCUGGCGGCGUGCUUAACACAUGCAAGUCGAACGGAAAGGCCCUGCUUUUGUGGGGUGCUCGAGUGGCGAACGGGUGAGUAACACGUGAGUAACCUGCCCUUGACUUUGGGAUAACUUCAGGAAACUGGGGCGAAUACCGGAUAGGAGCUCCUGCUGCAUGGUGGGGGUUGGAAAGUUUCGGCGGUUGGGGAUGGACUCGCGGCUUAUCAGCUUGUUGGUGGGGUAGUGGCUUACCAAGGCUUUGACGGGUAGCCGGCCUGGGAGGGUGACUGGCGACAUUGGGACUGGGAUACGGCCCAGACUCCUACGGGAGGCAUCAGUGGGGAAUAUUGCACAAUGGGCGGAAGCCUGAUGCAGCAACGCCGCGUGCGGGAUGACGGCCUUCGGGUUGUAAACCGCUUUCGCCUGUGACGAAGCGUGAGUGACGGUAAUGGGUAAAGAAGCACCGGCUAACUACGUG